rnacentral:snRNA from 1 species
GGAUAUGAGGGCAAUCUGGCUGGGACAUCUGUCACCCCAUUAAUCGCCAGGGUUGAUUUGGUUGAUCUGGCUGGCUAGGGGAGUGUCUCUCCUCCCUCACUACUCCAUGUACCUCCCUCCCGAAGCUGUGGGCUCGACGAAGAGGACAACCUUCCCCAAUAGAGGAGGACCAUUCUUUGGUCAAGGGUAUAUAAGUACCUGAGUCCCCUGCUAGAACCACCAAACAAGCUCCCCAAAGGCCUACCCAUGAAGCAUUUAAAAAUCUUCAUACACAUUCAUUUUGAGAUGAUUUCUACUUACU